UCUGUUUACACCAUAUUUCACCGCCUGUCGAUGAUCGACCGAAAGGACACUUGGCUUGCUCCUACACAUGUGGAAGUUAAAAGGACACUUGUCAUGCUCCUACACAUUUGAAGGGAAGUGGGAAGUUAUUUUGACAAGUGGAAGCAAAAGAUUGAAUGAAGACUAGUGGAGAAGUUAGGAAGUUAUUUCCUACGUUUGUUGUUUUCUAUAAAUAGUCUUUUAAGACUUCAUUGUAAUUCCUCUCCAACAAAUCAAAGUCUAUCUUUAUUUGUCUUAA